UACAGAGGGUGCAAGCGUUGUUCGGAAUAAUUGGGCGUAAAGCGCGUGUAGGCGGCUUUGCAAGUGGGGUGUGAAAGCCCUCAGCUCAACUGAGGAAGUGCGCCCGAAACUGCAGAGCUUGAGUACCGGAGAGGAUGGUGGAAUUCCCCAAGUAGAGGUGAAAUUCGUAGAUAUGGGGAGGAACACCGGUGGCGAAGGCGACCAUCUGGACGGAUACUGACGCUGAGACGCGAAAGCGUGGGUAGCAAUCAGG
rnacentral:rRNA from 1 species